UACAGAGGGUGCGAGCGUUAAUCGGAAUUACUGGGUUUAAAGGGUGCGUAGGUGGGCAGGAAAGUCAGUGGUGAAAUCUCCGGGCUUAACCCGGAAACUGCCGUUGAUACUAUUUGUCUUGAAUAUUGUGGAGGUAAGCGGAAUAUGUCAUGUAGCGGUGAAAUGCUUAGAUAUGACAUAGAACACCAAUUGCGAAGGCAGCUUACUACACAAUGAUUGACGCUGAGGCACGAAAGCGUGGGGAUCAAACAGG
rnacentral:rRNA from 1 species